rfam:Picea glauca, whole genome shotgun sequence.
ACAUGCCUACAACAUAGCGUUAAUGCACUAGAUCCCAUUAGAAAUCCACAGUUAAGCGCACUCAGGCUAGAGCAGUAUUGGGAUGGGUGACCGCCCGGGAAGUCCUAGUGUUUUACAUGCC